CGAGCCUAACCAAACCACAGCUGAUUGAGAGGUAACCGAGCCUAACCAAACCACAGCUGAUUGAGAGGUAACUGAGCCUAACCAAACCACAGCUGAUUGAGAGGUAACCGGGAAAAAAACAAACGAUAGCUGAUUGAGAGGUAACCGAGCAUAACCAAACCACAGCUGAUUGCGAUGCAUGCUUCAGUCGACUAUGUUCGGUUACGUUCGGCUAUUGCUGACAUAUUGUGCAUCACGUGCUAUGCGUGAAGAGAUUGAAAAUACAAGUGACAGAACCCACAAGCACCACAAAAAGUUGUCUAAACAACCCUUUCCUGUGGAUAGCCCAUCUCCACCUCCUACCGCCAAAAGGACCAACAGCAUGUACAACCGGUAAAGUAAGUGUAAAUAUAAUUGUAUUCAACAUUCUGGCUUGUAAAGACUAUUGCGUCAUUUUGUGGGCGACUUCAAUCAUACUGAUGAUCCAUGAGGUAACCAUAGUAACAGUCUGAUGUUUAAAAAAACCAUCAGACUGUCACCAGAGCAGUUUAGAAGGUGUUGUGGAGCUCUGCUACCCUAUCCCAAUGGGCCCGACGUUAUACAUCGCGUUAGGGCAGGAUAAGGCCUGUUUUUUCAUAAAUAACUAGGGUACGGGUAGGGCUCAGGUAUUACUAAAUUGAUCACUAACAUUUUGAAGAUAAGUCAUUUGCUCAAUGCUCUGCUGUGCAGUGCAGUCAUAUCUGACUAAGAUCAUAACAUGUUGUCAGAGGUGCGUAAACCUCGUCAAAUAUAAAACAGGAGAGAUUAUUUCCCACAAAGUAUAAUGUUCCUUGAGUUUUGUUGGCGUUUAGAGUGACCAAAAGUAGCUAACAACUAACUGCUCUCUCAUGUCUCUUCAUUCGUUGACCAGAGCCAGAUAUACUUUGAGGAGAUGGGAAACUCCAUUUGAAUCGUUGCCCAUGCUACGUCAGUGGGCCGUGCGGUGCAUUCUGGGCAAUUCGAGGACAAGGAGAGCUCUCCUUCAAGGAGUGAAUGUAGUCAAUUGGGCGCUAGCUGAGGAGCAGCUAAUGGAUUUUCUAACCCAGGAAGAUAUUUCUGAUUUCGGGUUUCGGCAGGGCCGGGUUGGGCCUUAAAUUUGGCAGAAGCAAUCGGGCCUGGGUAGGGUAGGGUCUGAACGUCACAGGCAUGGGUAAGGCUCUGGCUUAAAAUUCAUGCCGUGGAGGGCUCUAGUUGUGACGUUUGACUUUACCAUUUAAAUAUAAAUUGCAGACUGUCGGCCACACUUGAUAACUUCAAAACUAGCACUUACUAACAUAGGCAACAAGUAACUGGAUGGAAAACGGUGAGGCACAUAACACACCCCUUCUACCAGCAUUUGGGGGGAGGGUUCUUGAAAUGUAACAUCCAAUCAAAAUCAGCGGACAAUUCAAACCGUUUUUGCAAUACAAAAUUGUCCAGACCUCCAAGAGAGGCGUGACAAUUAUGUGAUUUUGGAGGUAUGGCAACCAUAAACCAGGAGACGUAUUCCUAUGGAAAUGUCCUGAUGGCGCAUGAAGGUGGAAGUAUUUGUAUUUGAAGCAUGCCACAUAGCUGAAUGGGGCUGAAUGGCACCAAAAGAUUGCUAAGAAUCAUGGUGAAAGUGGACAUAACUAGCAAAGGAUCACGGUCGAUGUAAUCAUUUUCAUCCUGCCUGAGAGAGUCAACCUUAAUGUCUAUGGCAAGAAGGCGUAAUCCUCCUCAUAGCCUGCAGGCCCGUGAUUGAUAUGUCAGCACGUGGUCCUGUGUGACAACAAAUGUAGUAGUCAGAAUGGAUCACUAUUUAACUAAAUAUCAUGAUUUGUAGCAAACUUUAAAAUAAUUCAUAGUGGACAUCGAACUUCAUCAUAAUAAUCUAAUUUUAUAGCCCAAAACGAGCGUCCCUCUCAAAAAUCUGGCAGUUUUGGCGAUUGUAAUUUAGAUAAGCUUUCUAGGGCAGACCAGGGCUUUUGGCACCACUAGAUUGCUAUGCAGUAGCCGACCAGUCGAGCUUGUGACUUCACGUUCCAGAUAGGACACUGGGGUCCUCAUGGCAACACGAGACUAGCUAGAUAUAGGCUGGUUGAUGUUAGGAUAAGGAGUCUUUUAUAAGGGGGUGGGAGUGGGGAAUGACUGUGCCUGUUUGUGUAGAAUGAAAUGAUUGAUCCAUGCUGUAAAUAAUUUGUUUCUAUUAAAUCAAUGUUAUGACCUAAAAUAAACUGUCCAAUCCACGUUA